UAUAAUAACCAAAAACAGCAAAAAUUUCCUUAAAUUAACAAUUCAGGGGCCGCAACCCAAAAACAGGUUGUCCAAUUCAUCUGAAAAUUUCAGGGCAGAUAGAUCUUCGCCUGAUUAACAAUUUUAUCCAAUGUCAGAUUAGCUCUAAAUGCUUUGGUUUUUGAGUUAUAAGCCAAAAACUGCAUUUUACCCCUAUGUUCUAUUUAUAGCCAUGGCGGUCAUCUUGGUUAGUUGGCGGGGUCACCGGACACAAUUUUUAAACUAGAUACCCCAAUGAUGAUUGUGGCCAAGUUUCAAAUAAUUUGGUCCAGCAGUUUCAGAGGAGAAGAUUUUUCUAAAAGAUUACUAAGAUUUACGAAAAAUGGUUAAAAAUUUACUAUAAAGGGCAAUAACUCCUAAAGUGGUCAACUGAUCAUUUUGGUCAUAUUGACUUAUUU
rnacentral:lncRNA from 1 species